CAAUUAAGUCAAAUACAACAAAGAGCUGAAUUCUUUACGAAAAACAAAAAAAAAAUAGAUUAUCGUGUGACGUGAUACCGAGAACUCCUUUGAAACGAUAUUUAGUGACAUUCUGAUAAGAUAAUAAUGAAUUUAUUGAAAUGAAUUUUAAAAACGCCUGAAUGUAAUAUGCGAGUAGCAAUCAGUGAGACAAAUAAGUAUUUUUUCGCUUAUUUGAAAAAUUAUACGUAUUUACUUAUAAGGCGCCAGCUUAUAAUUGAAUUAAUGUUUGGUUUAGGAAUGUGUGCGAUUAAUUAAUGUAUUUAUUCUUCAUUUAAUUUUUCUUUCUUGUUUAAAGUUCUACAUGAACUAUGUAGCAGAAGAAACAUUGAAUUUCCAUUAUGAUUGUAUAAAACGUGUGCAAUAUAGCUAUUAUAUUCAUUAUUAAAUAAACAAAAACGCUAAAUCGUUUUCAUAAUUAAAAGUUGAUGUAUCUUUAUUGAUGUACAAAUAUAUUUUAUAUUUUAGGUUAUAAACUAUAAUUUAGUAGGUGUCCAUUUAAUAUAAUGUAAAACGGAACGUACACACAUAGUUGCCAAGAAUGGAGGUCACGUCACAUCGUGCGAGGGGCGGAGCGCCACCAGUACGUCAGUAGUCAGUACUCAGUGCAGUGUUACCCCGCCUCCGUCAGUGAGGUCCGUGCUUUCGGUGACUCAGUGAUAAACAAACCUCCUCAGUGCCUACAUGUCCGAUAUGCAGGUUUGAAUUCCACCCUGGAACGCAGAGCCGGCUCCAUGUAUCGUAGUCCGCGCCCAACUCCACACAAAUGUCAGCCGCCGCCGCACGCCCUACGGCGGUUUUAUCACAUUUUAGAAAAUGACUGAAGGCUCACUCUUGCAUCAUGAUACACCGGUGAGUUUUUUUAGGGCGCACAAAGUUGUCUGCCGAUGCCGCGCGUUUAGAACUGUCAAAUGGCGCGCGAUUGCGUGAACUCUUACGGAACGUGUUAAAGUCGAAAACAGUGUGAAUUUGCCGGACAAAUUGGGAAGUAUUUUCGUACGUAAUCGUAUAUUGACCAUGAAUUCACGCGAGUUCAUUAAAACCGGCUCGGCAUUCAGGAACCAGUCUCCAAUUGAAUUCAACGUUUGGUAAUUAAUGAAUUAAUCGUGUUUUUUUUGUUGUAUAUAUUUUCUAUAUAAACACAUGCCGCCAUACAAAUAUUUAUCAACCAAUCGUAGCCAGUAGUAUCUACCUACCUAGUGUAAAGCAUAUCCGAGCCAUCGUCAGAUAUAUCAGAUAACAUAUAACAUAUUUAAGCAGAUUUACUUGAUAAAUCGUUUCUACUACUUGAAAUAGAGCAAAUAAAUUAUUUAAUAAUCACUUGUGUUUUGUGUACGUGGACGAAUACAGAUUAGCUGAACAGAGAAUGUAAAUUGGGCUUGAAUUAAUUUAUUACGUUGUAGUAUUUAAACAGGUGCACGGUAAUUAUUGACACAUUUAUUUAAACGAUGUGGAGGAGGACGCAUAGGAUUCAAAUAAUAUACACAUUUAUCGGUAUUUUUUUUCCAAUUUACAAGAAAUGAAAAUCCCGGAUAUAAAUGUGUGCUAGCGUAUUUAUUGAUAUUAUUUAUCUUAAAUAAACAUAACAAUGUUGUUGUGAUAUAAGAUUCGGAACUUAUAAAAGUAACAAGCUCUGUCUAUUAUUGCUUAGUUUUAGCAAAGCCCUUUUCACAGUAAAAGAAACACUGCCUGUUAUUUUUUACUGGUGGUAGGACCUCUUGUUAGUCCACGCGGGUAGGUACCACCACCCUGCCUAUUUCUGUCGUGAAGCAGUAAUGCGUUUGGGUUUGAAGGGUGGGGCAGCCGGUGUAACUAUACUGAGAUCUUAGAACUUAUAUCUCAAGAUGGAUGGCGCAUUUACGUUGUAGAUGUCUAUGGGCUCCAGUAACCACUUAACACCAGGUGGGCCGUGAGCUCGUCCACCCAUAUAAGCAAUAAAUAAAUAAAUAUAUAUAUAAUUCUUCUUAAUCGUUUUCUCAUUGCUGAGGAUUGUGAUUCAGUAACACUUUUUCAACAGAAUGCCAUCAUUAGACGCGAUCACCCGCCUGGUGAAACGCGGUGCUGAUAGGUAUAUAUCCAGUUGGUUGGACGUCUGACCAGUCCAGACGCGUUGGGAUCCGACCUCUUGGCCUUUUCCCUUCGACUUUCCCUAUCAACAUCAGCUGUUACACAAUAUAUCAUGAAUACAACGUUUUUUCUUGUGCGAUAUCAUAAUUUGAUAAUGAUUAAACAUUUAAUAUAAUGAUGAAACUUUAAAAGGUUUUCGUACUACCAUCAAAUUAGGUCAAGUUUCGUCAAUACCAAGAUAUACAAUACGGACACGUGGUUUUUUUUUUUUAGUACGGACUAUUGAUUGCUUUAACAUUAUCACAUUUUCCGACAUUACAUCCAUUUUUUUUUUUGUUAUCUAUACUCCUAAAAAAUAUAAUAUGUACCUACUUAUUUAAACAUUUUUACUUACUCAUGACAUGCUCAAUAAUGUACCUUCUUAUUUAACAUUUUAUGAUAUCUAUUCUAUACUAAUACUAAUACUAAUAUAUAUAAAUCUACAGUGGUUUUUACGGAUGUUCCGUUAUAACUACUGAACCAUGCAUCCGAUUGAUUUGAAACUUGGUAUCAAUGUAGAAAAUACAUGUACUUAAUGGAUAGGCUAAUAUUUAUAUGAGUGUUGGACUCCCUAAUAAUAAUGACAAUAAAUAAUAAUGUUAAUUUUAAAUGCCCAACGAAUUGGGCGAGUAUGGCUAGUAAAUUCAUAAUAUUUAACAUGUAUAUAAAUUACAUAAUAUGUAUAAGGAAAACGCAGCGUGGGUAGGUCUUUUACAAGGUAGGCCGAUGACCUGCUAAAGGUCUCGGAAAUCCGAUAGAUGAAGGCUGUUGCAAAGGUUCUGUGGGCUGGUGAUGAUGACAAUUAUGAUGAUGAUAUACAACAUAAUAGCUUUAUACGAAAUCGUAAGCUCGAUGUAGUUCGAAUAUUAUUAAUUACUAAUUACCCAAAUUAUAAUUUUGCGGAUUUGAUUUUUAUUACACGAUGUUAUUCCUUCACCGUGGAAGUCAAUCGCGAACAUAAUUUGUUAAGUACGUAUUUCAUUAGAAAAGUUGGUACCCGCCUGAGAUUCGAACACCAGUGCAACGCUCAAUACGAAUGUACCGGACGUCUUAUCAUUUAGGCCACGACGACUUAAACGCGGAUCCUAAGGUGGCAAAGUCGACGAUACUGUGACAGAAAACUUCACUGGAAUAGCAAAACUACUGCAGCAAUUAUUGGUGGUAGGACCUCUUGUGAGUCCGCGCGGGUGGGUACCACUACCCUGCCUAUUUCUACCGUGAAGCAGUAAUGCGUUUCGGUUUGAAGAGUGGGGUAGCCGUUGUAACUAUACUGAGAACUUAGAACCUAUAUCUCAAAGUGGGUAGCGCAUUUACUUUGUAGAUGUCUAUGGGCUCCAGUAACUACUUAACACCAGGUGGGCUGUGAGCUCGUCCACCCAUGAAAGCAAUAAAAAAAUAUACCUAAACGUACUCAAUAACUUAUAUUUUAUAGUAUGAUAUGAAAUACUUUUACCUCAGAAGAUACCGCGAGGCACGCCUAGUUAAACGUUAGUAUCAAAUGUAUGCUGAUUCAACAACACAGCGGAAGGAAAGGUGUGGUUAUUGUAUUUCGCAACAAAGAAAUCACGAUUGAAUAACAUUAAUAUUUUACUAGCUUAUUAUUACUGAACUAGGCUUGAAUUUAAUCCUUCAUAUUUGCUCUUUAUUUAAUUGUUAAAUCCAGACUCCCGUUUCUCUCAUUCGGCCGACCAGGCGAAGAAUUUUUUUUCCUACCUAAGCUGAUAGUCUUGAGAGGCUAUUUCAGCGUAACCUUAGCUAGUAGGUGAGCUCACGGGGCUCAAACCGGAGUGAUGCUAACACUGACCCUAACAAGAGCAGUGCUUCGCAGAAUCUACCACCGGAUCGAAAAGGCGACCCACUAAGAAGAUCCGGCGAGAAACUCAGUGAGCUGUGUCUGUGGAUGAAGAAUGUAAAUGAAAUAAAGUUUCGUUAACAUUCCUGGAUUUUAAAAAAGCCGAUAGUACCUUUUAAUUAUUUAUAUUAUUCUUGGUUCCCACCAAAAUCUCUCGGAUCUUCAUUAGCCGGUUUCGAGGUAUAUGUGUAUACCUAUACUAUAAUUGAUUUAUUUAAGUAUUUAUAAUCGCUACUAAAUCUUCCAGCUUUAAUAUUAAACACGAUAACAAACUUUUACUAAAGAAAAUUGUAAUAAUUAAAUUAUAUUAACAUAAUAAUCAUAAAUUAUAUUGAAAGAAAUCGUGUAGUUAUCGGUAAAUUAGUUAAUUAUUGCUUAUCUAAAUGACUAUUUUAAUGUCUUCCACGAAGAACGAAAAUUGUUAUUUUUACAUAGAUAUUCAUGAUGGUAACGACUGCAUUAUCAACAAUUCAAACAGAACCAUCCUUUUGUAUUGUUCUUCGAAAACAAUAAAUUGUUAUUUUGAGUUUUUUCUUCUCUCUGAAAUUAUUUUUGAAGCUGGGUCUGUCGACGGGCUUAGGGCAUAAUAUAGGUCUAAUAUAGGUCGAACAUAUGUUCACGUCCUACUCUGCGCUCAGUUCUUACCGGAUACGCCUUCCACAAAAUCUGAAACUACGAAGAAUGGUGAAUAAUGCUAAUGAAAAUUAAAAUAACAUCAUUUUACAUCAUGUCGUUUUUGUUUUUAUAAAACAAUUCCAUCUCUACCAACGAACUCAUUGAAUUUAAAAUUGAACUACCUGUGUCUACAGUAUUAUUUUAAUCGUGAAACCUAUUGGCUCCAACCACGUAACGUCAACGGCCGUGAACUUGUUUACAGUAGGCCGUCUAAAAAGCAUUAGUAUACUUUUAUCGCCAAAAUGGCUCCUUUUUUAUCUUUGAACAUAUUACUCGUAUAUAAUAUUUAAGUCAUUACCAGUAAUACUAUAGUGAUUUGUGACCGGUUGUCUUAUUCUUAUCGCGUUCGAGAAAUUACUACCCUCAUUCGUCACUGAUCGUAAGUAAAAUAAGUUUUUUAUCACUAUCCUUCGUUUAAGCCAGUGGUCGGUAACACGCGGCACGCGAGCCUCAUGCGGCCCUUUGACUCCUCGGCUAUGACUCUUCCGCGAAAUGUUUUAGCUCGGGCACGGAAUAUUACUUAUUAUCUUGCCUUGUACGACAAGUAAAUGUUUUUGAAACACAAGACUAUAUAAGAUAUAUGUGUUUAAAAAAAAUGUCGCUUUGAAUAAAUUUCAAUUGUGUGUUAUCUAUCUUUCGCUCUUUUGGUUGACAAGGUUGCCGCCACUGGUCUAACUAAACGUGUGCAUCAUAAAAAAUCAUUGUCCGUUCCAUUUAUUGUUGCGACAUAUGAUUGCAAUUUUUAAGCGAACUCAGAUAAAGAAUGAAGGUUCACAAUUUGACUGGUUUAUGUGUGUGAUACCUCAGAACCUUCUUCUUGGUGUUUUUUUUAUAGCAUUGAUGGUUGGAAGAGCUCACGGUCCGCCUGGUGUUAAGUGGCAACCGGAGCCCAUAGACAUUUACAACGUAAAUGCCGCCACCCACCUCGAGACAUGACCGAUUUUGAUGAUUCUUUUUUCAUUGAAAAUCUAGUGCUUUUCGCUAUUAUUGAUCAAAGGCUUUUCGUGUAGACCUAUUUAAAUUUUAUUAAGAUUAUAGUUUGUAUCGUACCUGUUGUAUUUAAUUGAUCUCGAGUACAUUUUUGAAGUGAAACUUCCUUAUUUUUUAUUCUUUAUUAGUGCCAUACACCUAUUAGGUUAAGUCGACCUCGAGUACAUUAAUGAUAUGUUUACUUAUUUUAUUUUGUCAAAGUCGAUUUACUUUUCUUAUUAAUUUUUUUAUAUUUUAUUAUAUUCAUUUAACUUAUAUAUACGAUAAGCCACGGCCUUUUUGUAUUUUGAUACAUCGAAAAUUAGCAUUAACUUAAGUUCGUCAACAACCGUUUGCCAGAAAACUUGUUAAUCAGACACUUUGACCUUCAGACUGAAUUGUUAAAUGAACAAUGAACAUAAAACAUGUUAAAUUCGGUAUUAUAGCAACAUAUUAAAAAUACAUAUUCGCAUAGUUAUGUUGCUAAGAAAAUAAUUGACACCGUAUUUGAGAAGACAACACCAAACAAUAUCACAAUAAAAUUUUUACAUCUUUGUUCGCCGCGAAUCUAGACACGUCGCUGCAUAUUAAUUUUGAUGAAUUUAGCCAAAUAGAUUUCGGUUUAUUAAGCCUUGAACCGCAUUGAGCUUUGUAUCGCAAUCAUUUAUACGCACUCUACGAGUUUUUAAUACAGUAAUAGCUGAAUUGUUGACAUUCUUUUAAAAUGUAUACAAAACAGUAUGAAUGUUUCCCAUAGACACACAGCUCACUGAGUUUCUCGCCGGAUCUUCUCAGUGGGUCGCGUUUCCGAUUCGGUGGUAGAUUCUGCGAAGCACUGCUCUUGCUAGGGCCAGUGCUAGCAACACUUCCAGUUUAAGCCCCGUGAGCUCACCUAAACGUCAUGGAGAAGCUGAAAUAACCUCUCAAGGCAAUCAACAUAGGUAGAAAAAAAAUGAAUGUUUUUGAAGUGAAACUUCUUUAGGCGCAUGAGGGUAAAAUUUUUACAGAACGUCACGCAGGUAUGCAACGGAAGUGACAUCAAACUACUAUUGAAAUUAAGUACUUGUCAAAUGUCAGUAGUAGUUUUUUUUUUUUUUUUUUUUAAUUUAUUGAAAGCAUUGGCAACACGGCCAUCAGCUUAAACUAAUUUUACAAAAAAAUAGAACAUGAACUAGAACUUACAAUAAAACACAAAUAAAAGAAACAAACCAAACCAAGAAACAAUUACAAAUCAUUGAAAAUAACAAAUUAAUGACAAAAUGAAUUGCAAGAACUUACUAUAAAAAAAUAAAAACUUACAAGUUUUCUUUCAACAAACAACAAAAAAAGAAUAUGAGUCGUUAUAAAAAAAUAAUUAAACUUGCACAUAAGCAGGAGACCUAUGAUACAUUCAUGAAUUAUACAUUCAUAGUCGUCCUAUAGUGUGAAGUACAAAAUUAUACACUAUUGAGAAUAGUUGUGGAAGCUUUAAAAUACCUUGAAUGGAAUUAGGAAUAGAUUUUAAGCCUGUGUCUUUACAUAAUGCAUUAAACAAUAAUCUCUGUUGAUUGAAUUCAGGACAAUUAAAAAAAAUAUGAUCUAGAUCACACAUGCCAGAGUUACAAUAAGUACAUGCAGCUGAAUCACUUAACUUUAAUCUAAAAAGAUGCGCAGGAAAAUGGCCGUGGCCUAUACGUAAUCUACAAAUAAUCGAUAUAAAGGCUCUUCCCGGGAAGAAUCUAAAACUAUCAAACCAAGAUUUAGUACUAGGUACUGGGACUAUUUCAGCUAACCAUUUACCUUUCGUUUCUCUGGACUUAGACAAGUAAUUAGACCAACGUUUCAUCAUAUUUUGUUUAAUUGAAUAAACUAAAUCUGAAUACGGAACUUUAAAAUCGGAAAUAUUUAUAUCUUUUGUAGAUUUCGCUAAUUUAUCAACAAAUUCAUUACCCACAAUACCAGAGUGACCUGGCACCCAGCAAAAUUCAAUAAAUAUAUUUCUAAAAUACAAAAAACUCAAACAACUUCUUAACUUAUAAAUUAAAUAAUUUACAGAUGCACUAAUACAUUUAUUUUUAAGAGCUUGCAAGGCGCUCAUUGAAUCAGAUAGAAUUAAAAUUUUGUCCCCUGCAGAGUAAUUUACUCGAAUGUGCUCUAAAGCAUAUAUAAUGCCUAGUACUUCAGCCGAAAAAACAGAGAAAAAAUUGCUACAUUUAUAAACUGAUCCUAUGUUCAUGGAUGAAUCAAAAAAUGCAAAACUAGUUCUAUCUUUAGUUUUAGAGCCAUCUGUAUACACUUUAACAAAAUCAGUCUUAUCUUCAAGGAACUCCAGAAAAUCAUUUUUAGAUUUAAACUUGAUUAGAUCAACAGCCACAUCUCUCAACAUGUCAUGAAAGUUAUAUUCGAAACAAGGCAAUACGGUAGACCAAAAUACCACAUCCUGAAAUUCAAAAUUCAAGUACGUUAAGGCACUGGAUAUGGAGGAAGAAUUAGGAAGCGGAAUUAAAUUAUAAUUUGGAAUAUUUGCAUACUUCAAAUACCUCAACCUUGGCUGCCUUUACUGAGCAAGAGUAAGAAACUGCAGAAUGUGGCCCACUGCAGUUGGAGCACUUGAAGAUGUUGGGAGUGCUGCACUCCUUAUAAAAAUGAUAGCCUGAACAAAUAGAGCAAACUUGAGUGGCUUUACAGGCACCACUUCCAUGUCCGAAUUUGUAGCAUUUGAAGCACUGUAACACAGGUCUAAUAUAAUCCGAAACAGGCAUCCAAAUAUGCUCGUAUGUGACGUGAUCAGGAUGGCUAGACGCCAAAAAUGUAACCAGCACAGUUUGCAGUGGCUUGUCACUUCCAUUCUCUUGUUUUUUGAAAAAUCUUUUUACUCCGAGUAUUGUGCAUGAAGCUUUUAAAUUUACUAAGAGAUUCUUCGUUCAAUUCCACAGGAGCUCGAAUAAUUCCUUGACUCUCAAUGCUAUCGUAAGGUAUUUUUGCUGUCCAAUUGUUUAACUCCAUAAAACUUACAUUUAAUAAAAAAGCGUUGGCAUCCCGAGCACAGCCAAAGUAAAUUUUAGCAAAAAAGGUACCAGCAGCUUUGACAUACUGGACCCCUUGAAUAUUUUUUAAUGCUUUGUUUAUUUUUAACAGGUCCAUUGGGACUCUGUUAUUUGGUUGUGAGAUGCUUGAUUGAAGAAGCACUGGGUAUUCUUUUUUUGUAAGGUCUUCGUAAAGAGCAUGGUGGUCUUUAAAAAGACCGCGCUUAUUUUUAAUGAAAGUCAUUUUUAUUUUGCGGCUUUCGUCGUAUUCAGAUGACUUCAUUCUUCUUUUUCCCAUUAUUAUGGGAGCGGACACAGGGGCGGAGCUGAAGCCCUCACCCCCGUCGUCAUCGUCCAUUAUUACGGAACACACUUAUGAAAUAUAAUUUUAAACUCAAACACAGUGAAAAAUUAGGAAACAAUGUCGUAAAAAAGGGCUAAAACCAAAUAAAUUAAAAUUAACUUGAAAAAAGCGCCUAUUUAGUUUGACGUUCCCGCCCUUUUUUUUUUCUCAGUAGUAGUAGUUGUUGUAUUUUUCCAACUGGAAGGCAAAUGUAUCAUCAUACCAUACAGCCUAAUAUUUUAUAAUUUUUUUGUGAAAAAUGAUAAUAGGAAUUGAAAUGAAAUGAAAAGAAUUUGGAACAUUAAUCAAAUAGCAUGAAAUUAAAUUAGUCAAUUCAAUUGGCAAAAUAUUAGUCAUUUACCAUUUAGAAAUCUAAACAUAAUGUGACUGUCAACACUGAGGUUUGAGAUUGACAUUUGACAGACUUUUGGCGGGAACAUAUCUUCCUUUUUCCCUUCCUCAAGUCUCGGAGAUCUAAAGUUUUAGAUUUGUAUAAAUUUAAGCAAGACUUAUAAAUUAGUUCGCCAAAAAAGUUUCACUUCUGACAUGUGUACUUUGUACGCACGCACUUUUUGUUUUUGUUACGGGCCUAAAGAAAACAGCAUACGAACAUGAAAAUGUAAGUGCCGAAAGUGUAGUCAAACUAACGUCGUGCCUUAUAUCAUCACAUCGGGUGUACUGAAAGUUGUUCCCGAUAAUAGUCAGUAUUAUAGUGAACGCAAUUCUUGACGCAAAAAAAAAUGCUGGUUGUGUGGUGUCGAUGUGGAAUAGCAGUAGGAAUACCAGCAGCAUUGCUUAGAUGGUUGGACGAGCUCACGGCCCACCUGGUAUUAAGUGGUUACCGGAGCCUAUAAACAUCAACAGCGUAAUGUCGCCACCCACCUUGAAACAUAAUUUGAAAGUCUCAGUUUUACAGUACACACGGCUGCUCCACCCUUCAAACCGAAAAGCAUUAAUGCUUCACAGCAAAAAGAGACAAGGUGGUCAUACCUACCCGUGGAGGCUCACAAGACGCUUAACCAGCAACAAUACUCAAAUAAAAAAGUGCAUGUUUCAUUUUGGUACACGAUGUUAUUCUUCCACUGUGAAAGUCAGUCGUGAACGUAUAUUAAGUACGUAUUUUAUUAGAAACUAGCUGACCCGGCAGACUUCGUAGUGUCUCAAUCGAUAAAUAAAAUACCUAAACUUUUGUAUAAAAUAAACUUAAAACAAACAAAAAGAA